UAAAAACUCAAAGCUUUCUUCCUCUUUCUGUGUUUGGAACACACAGGGGAAACGUCCCAGCGGGAAGCCGCACUGUCCAUUCUUUCCCCAGGUGACCUGGAAAUGGGUCUUCCACGCGCAUCUGCUGGAAAUUAGAAGAGAAAUGAUAUAUUAUGAAGAAAUUCAUACUUUAAUCUCAAAGUUGAGACAGUUGAGUCUAAGAGCAGGAGUUCUACUUUUGCACCAGAGUGGGUGGUCCCUGUGGACAGAGCUCAAUCGCCUUCUGGGACUCCCGGUUCUGGCACGGCCUCCAGAUGCUGCAAAUGUUCGUCUGGGCCACGACAAGUCUCUUUAGUGCCUGGCAGGCAGCAUCCUCGAUGCACCCACCGUCCUGAUCGAAACAGCAGCAGUCCCAGAGCUGCAGCCCAGACCCAUGAGAUGGUUCUCCUCCACCGACGAUGGUCACCAGACUGAGAAUUAGCGUGAGAAAUAGAAUCCAGACUUUCAGUUGCUCAAUUCCCAGGGUUCAAAGAAAAACGUUAGGUUUUGCCCUAGACCUCAGGGUGUGGAUCAGCUGCUGGGACUCCAGCCUCGGCAGCUUGUGUCGGAUUAUUUCAGCAGAGAGGAGGCGCUCUGCCUCCUUAGGGGAACACUGGGACUGCCCAACUCUCUUCAGCAGCUUUUUCUAAGACAAAAACACAGGACUCUCAAGGCCCCAUAGCUCACACUCCAGGGGCCUCCCGGGGCCAGGGAGGAACACGGUUCCAGGAUCAGGGCUCUCGCAAUGAAUGGCCCUACUCAUAGUUAACGGGAGCCCAUUUGUUUGCAUCAGACCAGCUCUCCCAGACUGCAUGGGGUGGACAGAUGUUCCAUGGCCGCGGGGCGGCGACGCGGGUGGCAUCCCGGCCAGUUGGAGCUCUCCUGGGGGCAGACGCUGAGGCCUCAGACACCAGCCUGAAACUGUGGAAAGGCUCCACUCUGGAGUCAAGGGCUGGGCACCAGGCAGACAGAAACAAGCCCCCGCUUGGCUCUCAGAUCUGUCAGCUGAAUUCCCACUGUACCUGCUCAGAACUAGGGGUAGAGGGGCAGGCUAGAGGUGGGGGGAGCAAUGAGGGAGGGGGCAGGAGAGAGGGAGAAAGGGAGAUGCAGAGGGAACCUGCCCCCCCAAACCUGCCCUCCCCGAGACCCCAAGCCUCCCCCUCCCCCAGACUCCAAACCUCCCUCUCCCAUCAAACCUGCCCCUCCCCCAGCCCCAUUCCAGAGCACAGAUAAAAGUGAAACCUGAGGAGGGAAUGUUUGUGGUGCCACCGCCAAUCAAGGGCUGUGUCACCACGGUAACAGGGACACUUCAUCAGCUCGCAGCAGAUGGUCAGUGAGCAGCAGGCAGCAUAUGCUCCCGUCAGCCCUGACGUGGGCGCAGAUGGACGGUGGGCAGGACCCUCGGGUAACCUGACAUGCCCCUCCCUGCCCUCUCUCGUGCUGCUUUUUGCACCCACGGAGAUUAGCGGGCUGCUUGAGCACCCAUUACUGACACUCCAGUGCCCUGUGGGGUUUUACCCAAGCAGAGCCGACACGGGCAAUGUUCAGGAGCACAAAGCCUCAGGGCUUUAGGAUGGUUCCUGAGGGCCCUAAUUGACAGCCCCGCGCCUCCUGGGUACCUGACACUCUUGCUGGAGAAAUAAACUUCCCUUGAUGGGCUGAAGAGAAUUGAC
ensembl:lncRNA